AGGAGAACCUGUAAGUACUAUUUCUCUUUUUUUAAAUUAUGUUCAUUGUAUUCUGAUCUUUGUGACGAGAGCGUCUCCUUCCAAAAGAAAGUCUUCCAACUCGACUUAAUCAUGCAGUCUAAGACUCGACACUUUGCUUGGACACGAAAGCUAAGAUUCGUGACUCGACUUAGAUUCGAAAUUCAUUUUAAUUUUUUUACUCGGUGUAAGGUAUCUUUUAUUUUCAGAGGAUUCGCACGGGACUGAUCAAAGUUUUCAAAAAAAUUUGGCUUGUAGGAAAAACUUGAGACUUGACUCGGACUUGUAUAAUGACUACUUUCAUAAUCUAAUUUUUUCUAUACAUACAUUAUAAAACCUUUAUUGGAUGAAGAGUCAUUUUUGAGAAGAUAAGGCAAUGAUGAGAACGUUCAAGGGAGACACGUUUUGCAAGGCGAGAAUGAUCAAGGUGAAUACGUACAAGAUGCAAGGUUCAAGGCAAAUCCUUCAAGAACAGAUCUUUAUUUAUAUAAAAAUCAAGGUAUUACAUUCAAAGAAGAACAAAAGAAGAGACACGAGAUACUUAAGCUUCAACAAGAGAUGCUCUAAUUCCAAUAUCUAUGGAAGUGUAACAGGAUGAAAAUUUAGAAGAAAACCGAAGAAAACUAAGCUUCUUUCUAGAGUAGUUUCUACUCUUUCCUUUAGUGGGAAUCUCUCCAUCCAUAUAGAACAAUGAAUAUAUUCACCGAAUGAAAGUAUGACUGGAUCCAUUUACUUUCAGAUUCAAAAUAAAUGCUCCAGAUGUGAAAUAUAAUAAUAAUAAUAUGUUAAUUAGGUACUAAAACAAUGACAAGUUAUAACCAUGAAAUUAAAAUAUACAACAAUUUGAAGUUUAAA
rnacentral:lncRNA from 1 species